AGAGUUUGAUCCUGGCUCAGGACGAACGCUGGCGGCGUGCCUAACACAUGCAAGUCGGACGGUUCUUCAUCCAUUUCUUUGAUUUGGAUGACAGAACAGUGGCGAACGGGUGAGUAACGCGUGAGUAACCUACCUUUUAGUCUGGUAUAACACCGGGAAACCGGUGCUAAUCCCGGAUAAGUUUAUUUGGCCGCAUGGUCAAAUAAGCAAAGGCGGCCUCUUCAAAGCUGCCGCUAAGAGAUGGGCUCGCGUCCCAUUAGCUAGUUGGUGAGGUAACGGCUCACCAAGGCGACGAUGGGUAGCCGGCCUGAGAGGGUGAUCGGCCACACUGGAACUGAGACACGGUCCAGACUCCUACGGGAGGCAGCAGUGGGGAAUUUUGCGCAAUGGGGGAAACCCUGACGCAGCAACGCCGCGUGCGGGAUGACGGCCUUCGGGUUGUAAACCUCUGUCAUCGGGGAAGAAUCCUUCUGUCUUAACAAUAGGGUAAUUGAAUGUACUUGUGAAGGAAGCCCCGGCUAACUCCGUGCCAGCAGCCGCGGUAAUACGGAGGGGGCAAGCGUUAUUCGGAAUUACUGGGCGUAAAGCGCGCGUAGGUGGUUUGUUAAGUCGAGUGUGAAAGCCCCGGGCUUAACCUGGGAAGUGCGCUCGAUACUGGCAAGCUUGAGUACGGGAGAGGGUGGGGGAAUACCCAGUGUAGAGGUGAAAUUCGUAGAUAUUGGGUAGAACACCAGUGGCGAAGGCGCUCACCUGGUCCAUUACUGACGCUGAGGCGCGAAAGCGUGGGGAGCAAACAGGAUUAGAUACCCUGGUAGUCCACGCUGUAAACGAUGUGUGCUAGCCGUUGGGGUACCCUUUGUACUUCAGUGGCGCCGCUAACGUAUUAAGCACACCGCCUGGGGAGUACGGCCGCAAGGCUAAAACUCAAAUGAAUUGACGGGGGCCCGCACAAGCGGUGGAGCAUGUGGUUUAAUUCGAUACAACGCGAAGAACCUUACCUGGGUUGGAACCCUCCCAAAUCUCACAGAGAGGUGAGAGUGCCCUUCGGGGAAUGGGAUGUCCAGGUGCUGCAUGGCUGUCGUCAGCUCGUGUCGUGAGAUGUUGGGUUAAGUCCCGCAACGAGCGCAACCCUUGUCUUUAGUUGCCAGCGGUUCGGCCGGGCACUCUAAAGAGACUGCCGGUGUUAAACCGGAGGAAGGUGGGGAUGACGUCAAGUCCUCAUGGCCCUUAUGCCCAGGGCUACACACGUGCUACAAUGGCCGCCACAAUGGGCUGCGACACCGCGAGGUGAAGCCAAUCCCAAAAAAGCGGCCUCAGUUCGGAUUGGAGUCUGCAACUCGACUCCAUGAAGUCGGAAUCGCUAGUAAUCGGAGAUCAGAACGCUCCGGUGAAUACGUUCCCGGGCCUUGUACACACCGCCCGUCACACCAUGGGAGUCGGAUGCUCCAGAAGUGGUUGAGCUAACCCGCAAGGGAGGCAGGCUACUAAGGAGUGUCCGGUAACUGGGGUGAAGUCGUAACAAGGUAACC
rnacentral:rRNA from 1 species